GGAACAUGUAGCUCAGUGGUAGAACACCUGAUCUUAUAUACAGAAGGUCCCAGGUGCAAUCUCUGGUGUCUCCA